rnacentral:rRNA from 1 species
GACCUCAAAUCAGGUAGGACUACCCGCUGAACUUAAGCAUAUCAAUAAGCGGAGGAAAAGAAACUAACAAGGAUUCCCCUAGUAACUGCGAGUGAAGCGGGAAAAGCUCAAAUUUAAAAUCUGGCGGUCCCUGUGGCCGUCCGAGUUGUAAUUUAGAGAAGUGUUAUCCGCGCUGGACCGUGUACAAGUCUCCUGGAAUGGAGCGUCAUAGAGGGUGAGAAUCCCGUCUUUGACACGGACUGCCAGGGCAUUGCGAUACGCUCUCAAAGAGUCGAGUUGUUUGGGAAUGCAGCUCAAAAUGGGUGGUAAAUUCCAUCUAAAGCUAAAUAUUGGGGAGAGACCGAUAGCGAACAAGUACCGUGAGGGAAAGAUGAAAAGAACUUUGGAAAGAGAGUUAAACAGUACGUGAAAUUGCUGAAAGGGAAACGC